rnacentral:rRNA from 1 species
UUAAAUUGCUGUGGUAUUUUGACUAUACAAAGGUAUUGAAAUAAGAUUUUAAUUGAAUGCUAAGAGAAUGGAUUUACGAAAAAUGACUUUUUUAAAUUCAAUAAUUGAAUUUAUUUUUAUUUGUGAAGAAACAAUAAUAAAUAUUAAGGACAAGAAGACCCUAAGAAUUUUAAAAGAAUUAAUAUUUGAAUCAAAAUUUAUAUCUUUUUAAUUGGGGCGAUUAAGAAAUAUUAAUAACUUUCUUUACAAUAUCAAAAUGAACCGUUAAUAGCGGUAAUAUGAUAAAAAUACUCUAGGGAUAACAGCGUAAUAAUUUUUGAUAGUUCAUAUAGACAAAAUAGUUUGCGACCUCGAUGUUGGAUUAGG